CCACUCACAUACACCUAUAACAGGUCUAGGCUAAAGAUGUGUAUACCACUCACAUACACCUGUAGCAGGUCUAGGCUAAAGAUGUGUAUACCACUCACAUACACCUGUAGCAGGUCUAGGCUAAAGAUAUGUAUACCACUCACAUACACCUGUAGCAGGUCUAGGCUAAAGAUGUGUAUACCACUCACAUACACCUGUAGCAGGUCUAGGCUAAAGAUGUGUAUACCACUCACAUACACCUGUAGCAGGUCUAGGCUAAAGAUAUGUAUACCACUCACAUACACCUGUAACAGCAUAGGCUAAAGAUAUGUAUACCACUCACAUACACCUGUAGCAGGUCUAGGCUAAAGAUAUGUAUACCACUCACAUACACCUGUAACAGGUCUAGUCUAAAGAUAUGUAUACCACUCACAGACACCUGUAGCUGGUCUAGGCUAAAGAUAUGUAUACCACAAACAUACACCUGUAGCAGGUCUGGGAUAAAGAUGUGUAUACCACUCACAUACACCUGUAGGCUAGUGGAAUAGUUCAGUAGCUGACUGUGUGUGUCAAACUACUAAGCUUGGUUUGGUUAGAACCACAGCAGAUGGGAAACAUGGAACUGCCAUGGAAUGUCUACAUGGUCAGGGUGGACAUUAAAUUUGUCUCGUGGUCCCUACUGUUCUUCUUGCAGCUUGUUUCUGUCUUGAACCAGUAAAAUCCAUCUUUUGUUUCUUUC